rnacentral:rRNA from 1 species
UGCAGUCGAGGGGUAACAGAGAGUGCUUGCACUCUGCUGACGACCGGCGCACGGGUGAGCCCGCGUAUGCAACCUACCUUUUACAGGGGAAUAGCCCAGAGAAAUUUGGAUUAAUACCCCAUAUUAUCUUUUUUUCGCAUGAAUUAGAGAUGAAAGUUUCGACGGUAAAAGAUGGGCAUGCGCCCUAUUAGUUUGUUGGUAAGGUAAUGGCUUACCAAGACUUCGAUAGGUAGGGGCCCUGAGAGGGGGACCCCCCACACUGGUACUGAGACACGGACCAGACUCCUACGGGAGGCAGCAGUGAGGAAUAUUGGACAAUGGAGGAAACUCUGAUCCAGCCAUGCCGCGUGCAGGAUGAAUGCCCUAUGGGUUGUAAACUGCUUUUAUACAGGAAGAAACAUUUCCACGUGUGGAAACUUGACGGUACUGUAAGAAUAAGGAUCGGCUAACUCCGUGCCAGCAGCCGCGGUAAUACGGAGGAUCCAAGCGUUAUCCGGAAUUAUUGGGUUUAAAGGGUCCGUAGGUGGUUAUUUAAGUCAGAGGUGAAAUCCUGCCGCUUAACGGUAGAACUGCCUUUGAUACUGAUUAACUUGAGUUAUUGUGAAGUAGUUAGAAUAUGUAGUGUAGCGGUGAAAUGCAUAGAUAUUACAUAGAAUACCGAUUGCGAAGGCAGAUUACUAACAAUAUACUGACACUGAGGGACGAAAGCGUGGGUAGCGAACAGGAUUAGAUACCCUGGUAGUCCACGCCGUAAACGAUGGUCACUAGCUGUCUGAUUAACAUUGGUUAAUUGAGUGGCUAAGCGAAAGUGAUAAGUGACCCACCUGGGGAGUACGCUCGCAAGAGUGAAACUCAAAGGAAUUGAC